AACCUGUUAGACGAUCGUCUUACGAAACAAGAUGGUUUUUAACGGGCCAUGCAAACGACCGCUUAUAUAUUGAACAGACCACGGUGUAUCCGCCACCUUUGUGCAGAGAUACCAUACCUGGCUAGUACGUUACAAAUAGGAUGGAUAGGGAUCCUGACAAUAAAGCCCCCAUGUCGCUCCGCCUGUCUCGUGUACUUGACGAUAUCGGCGCCAACCGCUGGGUGGUGAGGAAAAGGCGUGAAACCUUCCUUCUGAGAGAGGCGAAAGAGACUCUAAAUGCCAAAAUGAAUGGUUUUAAUGCAACGUUGAUACAUUAUGGCAGUCAGUCAGAGGGAUCUACCACACCGGGGAUGAACUCAGAUACUCUUUUGCAAUGUUUUUCAAAGAAGCGCAAGCGCAUUCAUACUGCAUGAACACACACAAAAUAAAAAUCAACUUAAAUAAUUUCCUUCCUGAAACAUUAUUUCAUUGGUAUGUUAUUAAAGAGUUUUAAUAUCCACUUUAA